UACGUAGGGGGCUAGCGUUGCUCGGAAUCACUGGGCGUAAAGAGCUCGUAGGCGGAUUCUUACGUCGGGGGUGAAAUCCUGGAGCUCAACUCCAGAACUGCCUUCGAUACUGAGGAUCUCGAGUCCGGGAGAGGUGAGUGGAACUGCGAGUGUAGAGGUGAAAUUCGUAGAUAUUCGCAAGAACACCAGUGGCGAAGGCGGCUCACUGGCCCGGUACUGACGCUGAGGUGCGAAAGCGUGGGGAGCAAACAGG
rnacentral:rRNA from 1 species